AUAUUGUCUGGAAAAAUAAUAUAGAAUUGGUCUAUUUUAACGAAUAAGACAUCAAGAAGUAUGCUUGCGUCACUGACUUUUGAAAGGUUUUAGUCGUAGUUCAUAGUGAUACGCAUGUGAAUUAAAGCUGGCAUCAGCUAAUGGAGGUGGAGACCAUUUUGCCCAAAGAGGUGUGGCAUGAGUUACACUUCCACUUCAGAGGAAGAAAACCUGAAUUGAAGAGCAAGACAUAUCUUUUCUGUGUGAUGAAAGAUAGAGAGGCAUCAUCAGAAAGAGCUGAAGUAGAGCACGCUACAAUGAAAGCAGGAUAAUUUUGGAAACUGAAUAGCCAGAGAAUCAAAUUAAUAGAAAUAGGGUGAAAUUAAUUAAUUUGUAAGCACGUAUUUUUUCUUGGGAUCAUUUGUUGUUUAAAAAUGAGAUGAUCAUGAGCCACUUCUGUGAUGUGGCUGUGAAAAAGAACAGGAGAGAUACAGGGGAGGAUUGUGGACUUGUUACUGCCACAUACUAAAUGUAUGGGACAUAAAAACUCCAUAUGCAGGGAAACAAUAGCAACAACAAAAACACAGAAACACAAAUAAAUAAACAGGUUAACAUAUUUAGAAUGGAUAUAGAAAACUACUAAUAUGAGCAGGGACACAGAGCCUGUCUCAUGACUGAGAUUUAAAGAAUUGGCUUCUUACUCCUUUCAAGGAUAUGGUUGUCUUCUAUAGGCAUACCAGGGGAUUAGAAUCAAAAGAGGGAACAUAAGAGUGUAUGAACUCUACAAAAUGUUGCAACAAGAAUAAAUGGCUGUAAUUAGUUCCAAAAAUUAGAAAAAAAAAAAAAAAAAAAGACAGAAAUGAAUUUCUGGAAUAGUCGUCCAGAAGCAAAAAUCCCAUUUAGUUUUCCCAGGGAGUCAGAUGUAUUAUGAAAUAUAUAUGCCAUGAUUGUUUGUGAUAGCUGGGGAGUGGGCUUUAUGAUCCAAUAUGUGCUUUCCUGGCUAUUUCAAUUCAAUUUAUAUACUUUGAAUUAUUAGCAAUUAGAAAACUGUGCACGAGCAUGAGAUGGCUGGAUAUCCUAUUUUACAUUCAGAAUUUAAUGCUUUCAAAAUAUUUUCUAUUAAAGAAUUAUGAGAACUUCUGGUUAUUUGAUCAUAAACAUGUCCUUAAAAGCAUCUAAGAAAAGCAUCAUUCUAUUUGUGAUUUGUAUUGCUCUCUGAAGGAAUGUCAGCAGCAGCAGAGUAGUAGCCAGGAGGCUCCAGGCAUAUUAACCAUAUUCCAUUUGUUCCAGUGCCUGCGUUUCCAUGGUUGCUUGGUAUUUGGUAUUUUUGGUUCAGAUAUUUCUUAUAAGGCCUCUGAAGAGAUCACGUGUUUUUAAAAAUAUUUGCUUUAAUAGAAAAAAAAUAAUGUCCACUUUGUUGUAAAUACAUCAAACGGGUACCUUCCCUAUAUCUGACUUGAAAAUCUUUUCAUAAAAGGAUAACUAGUAUUAAUGAAUAUGUUGUAUGGAAAGACUCGCUUUUUGGACUGAAUGCAUUCUUUUAUAAGGGAUACAGUGGACACUGAUUUGCUAGAACAUCAUGCAAAACCAAGGCUAGAGUAACUGAUAACUAAAAGUCAUAUGCCUCCUUUUUGAAGGUUUUGAUUUAAUUCCAACAAAGUUAUUACAUUCUGACAUUGUAGUUGAAUUUCUUCCUUUUAACACAGCUGUUAUGCAAUCUUCAAUAGCUGCAUAUCGAACACCCAAAAAUUGUGCACCUGGAUGCGGACAGAAAUCAUUACCGAGGUAUUAUAAAGCACAGAAGCAAGUAGUGCUAUACAUUACUGUAAAAUAACCCUACUGUGUAAUUAAUAAUAAUAUGAAAUUUUAGCAUUGAAAACAAUGCUUACAUUGCAGCUAGAUGAAGCUGGAAGUUAAAUACAAAUACUGAAUCUGGUGCUGUGAAGCAGGGUUGAGAGAUUGUCCUUGUCCUACUUUAUUUGUAGCUCUUGUUGUAUGCUGAUAGAUACAUUUCUUGAGACUGACAGAGAAGUCUUUACCUAGUUCUGCUCAAAUGGAAAUAUUUCCAUCUGCGCUAUUUUCAGGCUUGCAGGAAGGGGAAACAAUUGCACAGAAUCUGCUGUCAAUGGUAUUCUGUCCAUCACAGGCUUUGUUUGUGCUGCCAAAGGGAUCUAAAGCCUGAAGUGCUCUACCAAUCCACACUGAACAAGAUUCACAUUCCGACUAGUUACGAUGAUAAAUAAUGUUCGUCUCUCAGGCCUAGGGGAAGGCAAUUUAAGGAUUCUCAAAAUGCCAUAGUUCAUUAUCAUUUGAAAGGGUGAACUACAGCUGUGUGAAACCGAGUACAAAUAAAGAACGGAGUAAA